rnacentral:rRNA from 1 species
UACGUAGGGUGCGAGCGUUGUCCGGAUUUAUUGGGCGUAAAGAGCUCGUAGGCGGUUUGUCGCGUCGGCCGUGAAAUCUCCACGCUUAACGUGGAGCGUGCGGUCGAUACGGGCAGACUUGAGUUCGGUAGGGGAGGACUGGAAUUCCUGGUGUAGCGGUGAAAUGCGCAGAUAUCAGGAAGAACACCCGUGGCGAAGGCGGCUCUCUGGGACGGUACUGGACGCUGAGACGCGAAAGCGUGGGGAGCGAACAGG